UGUAGGGGUGAGCCUGCUCGCGAUAGCGGUGUGUCAUUCAGUAAUACUGGUAUUGACAGACCGCUAUCGCGAGCAGGCUCACUCCUACA
rnacentral:misc_RNA from 1 species